UUAGAACCAUUUGUGUAACCUGGGCAGUUUGACCUCCCUGUAACCAGGGUUUGAGUCUCUGAAGCCCUUUGGUCUCUUGGCAUUGCGCUUUCUUCACAGCCUGAGGCAAGUGACUGCUCUGUAAUCAGGGAUCUGGUCUUUGCGCUCUAGUCUCUUGUCACUAGGACAAGUGCAGCCAGCUGGUCUUAAUGAGCACCCUGUAAACAGAGUACAGGUCUCAUCAGACCCUUCUUCUGGUGCCCCAUGUAACUGUGUCCAGAGUCCUGGCCCUUCGCACUGCAUUUCCAACUUGCCUCGAAUUCCUUCUGUCAAGUCUACUGCCUUCUUCGGCACAUACUAUGCUCUUGGACUCUGAAAGACUGCUGCUUUUGCUGCUCCAAGCACAGGUGGACAAGAAUAAAGUGUCAGGAAUAUCAAGCAAAGAAGAGAAAAGAAGAUAUGUCACUGAAGACUGAGGAGAAGGAAAGGGACUCUGGGCACAGUAACCUCCCUGUAUUCAGGCCUCAAGUCAUGUAAUUACACUGUAUGGGGCUCUCGAGCCUUUUGAUACCUUGAGCAGCAUGACCGCCCUGUAAGCAGGGUCCAGGUCUGUUUGCUUUUUGUCCUUUUGACAUUGUGCUCCGUUAGCUGGCUAGUGAGAGUGACUGCCCUGUAAUCAGGGUGCAAGUCACCUCCGCCUGGCUUUCGAGGGACAUUGAGUUCUUUGGUAACUUCAGCAAUGUGACCACCCUGUAACUAGGGUCUAGAUCUCUGCCCACUUGCUCAUUCGGCAUUAAACCCACUAGUCAGCGUGACAACCCUGUAAUCAGGGUGCAUGUCACAAGUAUCUACAGAAUAGGACAUUUUGAACCCUUUGAUACUUUGAGGAGCUUAACCUUCCUGUAAUUCAGGUUAUGUAUUCAGAUUAGCUAUUUGGCUAAUCCCAGUGACCACCCUGUAAUCAGGGUACAGGUUGCAUCUAUCUUUUGAAAUCUGGAGGAUUAGAACCUUAGGAUUUGUGUAACCUGGGCAGUUUGACCUCCCUGUAACCAGGGUUUGAGUCUCUGAGGCCCUUUGGUCUCUUGGCCCUGUGCUUUCUUCACAGCCUGAGGCGAGUGACCGCCCUGUAAUCAGGGAUCUGGUCUUUGCGCUAUAGUCUCUUGUCACUAGGACAAGUGCAGCCAACUGUUCUGAAUGAGUACCCUGUAAAUAGGGUACAGGUCUCAUCAGACCCUCCUUCUGGUGCCCUAUGUAACUGUUUCCAGAGUCCUGGGCCUUCACACUGUUUCCAACUUUCCUGGAAUUCUGCCUCCAAGUCUCCUGCCUUCUUCCCCACUUUCUGGGAUCUUAGAGAUCUGAUAUCCAUCUACUUUUUCUGGAGAAUUGGACAAAAUGGAAGUACACAACCAAAAAAACCAGAAAAGAGAAGCUAAAGGCCUGUGAAACAUAAGAAAGGAAACAAAUGCUGAGAGCAAAGUAUAAUUGUGUGAAUUUUUUCAAAGGUUUAUACCAUGUCCAGCAGCAUGGUAUAUGAGUGCAUUGGAAGGACAAAUUGAACAAAAUGACUAGCAUCUGUCACCUGUCAAAUGCUGAUUCAUGUUAAUAGACCGUAUAUAACAAAUUCUAAAGCUCAAUUACUUGUGGCACCACAACACUGCAUGAAGACUAGAGAACAGUUUCCUGCUACGACCUUUCAGUUCUGUAACUACCUGUGCCACACGAGAACUGAUAUGUCAUCUUAUUUUAUAAUCACCUAUGUCCUCUCAAAUUGUCUUUUACUAAUGAAUCCAUAAAGUAUGCUUUUGUGUAUCAUACUUUCUUAUGCAGGUAGAAAAGCAGGAUGUAUUUUUUUAUUUAAUUCAUGAAAUUUAAUCUUUACCAUUCUUUCAUGAGUCAUUUUCAUGUCAUUGCUUGGUCAUUUGGUCUUCUGUUUAGUAAGCACUCAGUUUUACUUUCUUGAAGUCUGCUGCCUAUUGCAAGUUGUUCAAAGCUCAAGAACUAUUUGAAAAGGAUCGAAGAAAACUGAGAUGUAGGGUGGCCACCCUGAAGGGUGUUGGGAAACCUUUUCAGUAGGCACACUAUUCAUCUUUCUCCUUUCUCUUAUCCCAGAAAAAGUCCAUUUUUGAUACCAAAUCAGUACCAUAGCUAUGAUGCCAUAUGGAACUGAGCUAAGUUUCUACCUAUGGCCAAUGAGAAAUUGUCAGUAGAACUGAUUAUUUGAAUCUAAAUGUUGAUUUCAUGUACAUACGUAACCAAGUAUUUAAAAUGUAUGUUUUACCAAGGUGACUACCUGAUUUUAUGUAAAACAGUUACACACAUAUUAGAAAAUAUAUUCCUUUGAUUUAAGUGUGUGACAUAUAGUUGAGUGACUAAUGCUUUAUAUACUCUUUAUUUUUACUAACAGGUUUGUCACUAGAUACCAAGGAAUAAUUGUAAAUCUGUAAUACAGAGACAUUAAACACAGAAGCACUAUAGGAUCAUAGCUCACUAUUAUUAAUAAAUCAGAAUUUCCUACUCUAAGUGCAAAGAUAUAACUGAAGGGAGGGCAUGUGUUUGUAUUCUCCACUCACUUCCAAGGCUCCCCCCCCCCUGCAAAAAAAAACCUGGUCAAGGUUGAAAAGAUUACCAUUUACUCCAGCUAACAUCUAACAAUAUUUUGAAAGCUCUGUAUCUCUCACACAUUGCUAAAAAACAAACAAACAAAACUAAAUGUUAUUCUGGAAACUGGCAGUUACUCCCCCCACGUCACAACUUUCAAACAUCUACUCUACUUAAACAGUCACACCAACCAAACUGUACCACACAUUCAAUUUUAACUUUGCAGCUAUUGUGUUAGAACAAGUAGACUAUUUUUUGGUAGUUGUGUAUAUUGAUGUACGUGGUAAUAGUGGUGUUUUAAUGGGUUUUUAUGCUUAUUGAAUUAAGUGGAUGCUCAAGGAUGAUGAUGUGGAUGUUUUAUGUAGGUAUUUUUCUAUGAAGUGUUAGUAUUUUUGUAGAGGUGCAGAAUUGUGAUUGUGGCUGUUUUUCAGAUUUUGGUGUAGUGUCAAUUGUUGAAAAUUUUAGAUGUUUUUGUAUAUGUGCAUUAUUAGAUGUAUUUAGAGGGCAAAGUUGAGGUUGUCUGUUUGGUACAAUUUUAUUGGUGUGAAAGUUAAUUUAGGGUAGGUGUUUGAAAUCACUUAGGUUUGAAUUUUAAACUCGACAGGGAUCCAGGACCCACCUGGCUACCUCAGUUCUUAUUGUCAUUCCUAAUUUCAAAAUCUGGGAUGAAGAUGACCUGGCAGAAUAAAGAUAUCUCCAGAUACUUUCAAGAAUUUAGCAUUUCUGCAGCAUUAGGGGAUCCCUUAAACCUUAUUGAGCUUUUUAAAGUGUAAUUGUGGAAAACUCUUAACUUCUACUUCUGCCAGUUAGUGUUGACCUGUAUUAAAAGAUUUAUACUGGUAGUUGAUUCUGUGCUCCCUAAGAUGAUUUUGCUAAAAUCGCCACUUUAUGAUGUGAGAAAUGAAUUAACUAGGUUUUAUUAUACCUACUUGAUAAAAGUUGGAAUAUUCCAUGUUAAAUUCAUAGAUUUAGCUUUAUGACUGUCAUAUCACCUUAUUUUGCUUUCUGUAACUCUGUAAUAAUAUGUUUAUUAAUAUGUAUGUAAUUAAAUUAAUAUAUUGUAUACAUUCGAGUUUAGUCUAUCUUUGGCUAAACAAAAAGGAAUCUGAUAAACUUGGGAAGAUUUUUAUCAUGAAUUUUAAUGUAAUUAUUAUCUCUUUUUACCUUUUUUCAUGUGGUUGUUGGAAGUAACUACCCUGUAAUGGCGCAAGUUUUAUUUUUCUCUUGCAUCAUAUUUUUUGGCAGACUGCGGUGUGACGUUGAAAUGAGGAUGAAGAUCUCACUGCCACUUAGGUGCAUAAAGAUGCCAUCCUUGAGCUUCUAAAGUGCACAAGAAAGGGGCUUUGGUUCCUUCAUUUCCCACUAGCUUAUAGAUUGCUUGAGAUCCGCAGGCCCUAGAGGUCACUUCCUGGGCACAAAAUAUGAGACCACUGUGUCUGUUGAUAAGAUUGACCUGACACUGGCAAGGUCUUCUGGUUUCUGCAGCAUUCCAGUUCAGAAUUUUUUUUUAAAAGUUGGUUGAAUUAAAUAUCAAAAUUGAUAUUACAUUAACCUCAUGUUUUUUUCAGAAAUUAAUUUUUACGGUGUAUCAAAUUUUCAUUAUGCAUCUACAUGUGAAGUAAUGUGGUCUAAUGGUUUAGAGUACUGGACUGGGAUCCAGGAGACCUGGUUUCUAUUUCUGGCUCUGCUACUGGUCCACUGGGUGUCCUUGGGCAAGCCACUUCACCUCCAUGUGCCAUUUUCCACAUCUUUUUUUUUUAAA